rnacentral:rRNA from 1 species
CCUACGGGAGGCAGCAGUGGGGAAUAUUGCGCAAUGGGCGAAAGCCUGACGCAGCGACGCCGCGUGAGGGAUGAAGGUCUUCGGAUCGUAAACCUCUGUCAGCAGGGAAGAACGGUCACUGUGCUAAUCAGCAGUGAAUUGACGGUACCUGCAAAGGAAGCACCGGCUAACUCCGUGCCAGCAGCCGCGGUAAUACGGAGGGUGCGAGCGUUAGUCGGAAUGACUGGGCGUAAGGCGCUCGUAGGCGGUAUGUCAAGUCAAGGGUGAAAUCCCCGCGCGCAACGUGGGAACUGCCUUUGAAACUGGCAAACUGGAGUGUGUGAGAGGAUAGUGGAAGUCCAGGUGUAGGAGUGAAAUCCGUAGAUAUCUGGAGGAACAUCAGUGGCGAAGGCGACUAUCUGGCACAUAACUGACGCUGAGGAGCGAAAACGUGGGUAGCAAACAGGAUUAGAUACCCUUGUAGUC